UUAUACUAUUCUAAACCAAAUCACACGGCGUCUUUAGGGCGAUUGGAUCUGAGCUCUCGUCCUGGUUCCUCCGUCACGGCGUUAACACAGCGAACCACACCGGAGUCCACUGCACGACGAGGAUUCGUCGUCCUCGAUCUCGCCCUCUCCUCUAUGCCCGCCGACGCGGGCCGCGUCUCCGUGUCCUCGACCAUGCUGCCAGCGGCAGUGAUGCGGUCUGGCGUCAGCGCCGACGGAGUUCCCGUCUUCUUCCCUGCAUCGCGAGCACAGUGCUGGCCUGCCUACGCCGGGGCUACUCGCCACAUGGCCGACCUGGAGGUGGAGACGCCACGACCAGGCCAUGCAAUUGCUGGGCUAUUCUUCCUCUGCUCCACGCUGUGGUUGAUGUUGUUGCAACAAAUAUUACAGGUUUAUUGAGCACGAUUACCAGCAAGGCGAAGCCGGUGGAGCUCAUGACCACCGCCAUGCACAAGGACUGGCCAAGCCCACAAAAGUUUAUUGGGCAUGAUGACCAGCAAGGUGAACAAGGUGGCGCGCACCACCACCGCCUCGCGCAAGGAAACGUCAAGCCUGCAAAGGAUUAACCAAAGGAGGAACUUGAAGAAUUGGAGGUAGCAGUGUGUCUUGUAAACAAGCAAGCAAUUCUCCCUGCUCCACAGAAAGCUACAGCUGAAGAUGAAGAACUUGCUACACUACAAGCUAAAACUUCGCUAUGACCAGGGUGACUACGAAGAGGAUUGAGAAAGAAAAUAGUAGUACAAACUUACAAAAUACUCUUUUACAGAGAUCUAGUCCUAAUAAGACUCAAGGUGGAAGGCUAAUUGUUAUUUCCCCAAAUGCGCUCAUACAAGCUGCAACAAAGAAUUCUCAAAUGUUUGAAGCAAUGGAUCCAAAGAACUAGAUGGACUGGACUCUGGAUCACGGGCAAUUUAGUCUUGGCACUUAAUUAGGAUGGCUAAAUUACAUUUGAUUUUCAUUUGAUGGAUAUUUGCUAUGAGAAUUAUGAAUUUUAUGAAUCUACAUAUUAUACGUAUGGUUUUGAAUAUUGUAAUUGAAUUCCUCUAUAUUUUUUUACAGUUGCAAUAGGAUAUUACCACAA